GUGUCUGGUGGUCUGGUGAGUCAGCUGGCAACCUAAACAAAACCGUUUUCACAGCAUAGAACUUCUCAAAAAUGACAGCCAAGACAAGUCCACGUUCAAGAUUGGGGUGCCAUGUAAAUAUGACAGGUCAAAGCCCACAUAAAAGGAAUCACAUAUAAGACGUAUACAACUGAAAAGGCUUGCUUGACCAACAUCCCAAGCUCAAAUAAAACCUUCAGAUCCGCCCACAAAAUAGGCCAAUUCAUCAAUCCUAUUCUUUCCUGACCAUUACAAUGCCCCCCUAAGUCGGAGUGUUUAUGGCUUGGGGGCUUGCUGGGUGAGAAAGUCGGGCGUCUGUGGUGAAUUGUGGAAGCGUACUCGAUCAUCUCAGGGGGAUUCCAGUGGGAAAUUAACGUUAUCCUCUGGGACCGCAUCCCACACUCUGUCUCAGCUCAGUUCGAACCUUAUAUAUAUUGACGUUGAGUGUAUGUGAGCAAAAUAAUUUAUUUUUUCCCUGAGCUAGGUUGCGGGACUGAGAUGAGAAAUCCGGAAGAAACUGUUCUCUGCAUCACAGCCAUAAUCCAAUUUGUCCCAGAUCGUUGAGACACAUUUUUUGCUGGCUGGAAGCUUCUGUGAAAAACGAGACUUCCGACCUUUGGCGGCACUUUCUAAUCUAAUCGAGUGGAUAUUUGGUGUGGUGGAUAAAGCUAACUUUAGGAAUCAAAAAUGUCUGUGGUGGGUGAGGCUGCCAUUGAUUUUGCAGCUGGAUGUUUUGGCGGAAUGGCCACGGUCUUGGUGGGACAGCCCAUGGACACGAUCAAAGUCAAAAUGCAAACGUUUCCCGUGCAAAAUCCCGACAUGUUGAAAACAUUUCGGCAAACAGUUCAGCGGGAGGGCUUCUUUGUCGGACUGUAUGCUGGAACCCUUCCCUCCAUAAUGGCUAACGUCAGUGAAUUAUCCGUACUAUUCAUGUGCUAUGGACAGUGUCAGAGUAUGGUCUCCCGAACACUUGGCGGUGGGAAAUCCAAAGAUAAAUUGAGCCCUCUCGAGAAUGCUUUGGCAGGCUCCGUGGCGGCCAUUUUUGCCUCGGUCACGCUCUGUCCAACGGAACACAUCAAGUGUCAACUUCAAGCUCAACGUGAGAUGGGCCAAGUCCAUCGAUCAACGUUCUCUCUAACCCGUGAGAUCAUUCGUCAGGAGGGUUUUGGACAGCUCUUUAAAGGUCUGGGCCCGACCUUGGCCAGGGAAAUCCCCGGUUGCUUCUUCUUCUUUCUUGGCAAUGAAGGCAGCAAAGCUAUAAUUUGCAGAUUGACGAAAUCCAAGCGCGAGGAUCUCGGUCUGAGUUCGACGCUGUUCUGUGGUGGAGUGGCUGGUGUUAGUUUCUGGACCUCCAUCUUUCCCUUUGAUGCAGUUAAAAGCAGGAUUCAAGUCUCCUCUGAGACUUCUGCUAUGAGAGUGGCUCGGGAAUUGUGGAUAACCAACGGAAUUCGUGCAUUCUACUCAGGCCUUUUGCCUUGUGCUCUACGAGCUUUUCCGAGUUCGGCCGCAAUGUUCUUGGCGUACGAAUACACAAAGGACCUCAUGACCUUUUAUUGUGCGUAGAACUAUCGCAAGAAUGCUAGUGGGGACUCUCGAAAGAGUCCUGAACAUUUUUAGAGAUUCAUGAUCUGAGACCUAAUAUCUUGGGAGCCUUAUCCUCAUAAGAAUGGUUUCGUUGAUAAGAAAAGUUUUCGUAUUAUCUCCAUCACCGCAAAACCCCAAGUGACUACGCAAUAAAGCCAUUUAAUGCCCCCCCUAUCAGCAACCAUUUUCCCCCCUCAAUGUGACAGGACUGAAAUUAAAACUGGCUACAAUUAAUGAUCAAAGCAAGUGGAGGGAGAGGUUGGAACUGGGCAACGCCAAAAGGUAUGUAUUCAGCAGGAUUUCUUUCAGAGGGAGAGGAUCAAAGGACUUGCAAUAGAUUAUUAUCUCUGUCCACCUUUUGCGCCUGAGAACGAUCAAGGUUUUCCGUUAGUUUUCCCUUGAAUACCUUGAAAAUAUGUCCAAAUGCAAAGGGUAAUUAACCCCGAUCAACUCUAUUCUGUCACGUAGGAGCAAAAUGUUGGGUUGCUGAAACCCGCCACCUAGGGAAAAAAAAUUCAUUAAACAUUAAAAACGCGUUUAAAGGAAAAGGGGUUCUAUGAAGUGAUGGGAUCAAAUCGAAUUUCAAAUUCAAGGUUGCCAGAAAACGUGGAUAGCGAGAGCACCCGCCUUUUCCAUCGCAACGUAAACACUUGGGUUUGAGUACAAACGCAACCCUGGUUUGACGGAGGAAAAAUCAGGGUUACAUUUUGAGGCUGACUAACGGGUUUCGGAGAUUCCACCGAUUCCACCAGUAAUGUCAUGGCCAUGGUAAUUGUGAAUUGGUAGCCCUGGUCGCAACAUACCGUGAUUACUAAUUUGAUCCCCAUCACUAGUUCUAUGGUAUCUCUAGUGCUUCAACUUCCAGGGCUGUUCGAUCUCCAGCCGAUGAAAGGGGGGGGGGCGAAUUUUUCUGCCAGCGAAAGUCCUCUUUUCACGAGAUUAUAUCUAAGAAUCAAGGGAUCGAUCUGAAUCAGAUCAAGGACCACCGGGGUUUCUGGCAACCAGAUAAGAUAACCAAAUCCUUGUAAAUGGACUAAGCAAACCGAGGGCUCCCUAACGUCUGGUUUUCUUUCGGAAUUCUAACAGUGCCUGGCAUUUUAAGGAGCGCAUCACUGGCUUCCAAGAAAUUGAACAAACUUUUGGCUUGGUUAACCUUUGCUAAAGCAAGUCCCUGAGGUUCGCCUGGAAGUUGAUACACAAACCAAGAGGCAAUACCUAAGCCACUAGAAUAAAACCUUCUCGGGCUUCUCAUUUCGUCUCACGGAAAUACACGGCUUUCUGGAAUUUGACUACGUACACACACAGUUGGGAUGAACGGCAAGCUGCAAAAAAAGGAAUUAAAUUCGUAAAAGGGUUCUGGCGCAAUCUAAACAUCGGACUUGGAAAAUUUAAGAUCUUGUCAACGAUUUGAGUGCGAGUGUGAAACCAUGGUACACAUAUCUGGCCACUUUGGAGCGAAAUUGUCCUGACAGUGACAUCUUUGCAUUACAACAAAUUUGCAAUGCAUCGCAAACACCACGAGUACGAGAAUGGAAGAGAAUGACAACAGUCCCUUCACUCUAACCCUUGAACAUGCCAUAAAACGAAGAAUAGUCUAUUCUGUUCCGGUUGAACCUCCCAAACCACUAUUUUAUGGUGCCCAUUUCUUUUCAUGCUUUUUGGCAAGGCCGUCUAGUGAUCUUCUCUGCCUUGGAUCUGGACCUCCAAGUUAUGAUAAGGAUUCAUCAACUUAAUGAUCAAUAGUCCCGAACUAAAUGAAACCCAAAGUCACGUAAAUACAUCUUACCGAUUCCAUGAUGUUGAAAGAUAGAUGUUUUUUGUGUCAGAUUGGAACAGAAAAAUAGAAGGUUGGAUGGAUAGAUGAACAGAACGAGGGUUCAGCUGCCAAAAGGAAGGAAGACUGAAAAGCGCAGAUUCGUCUUUCUUUGCAGCACUGGCCUCCUCUCCCAGGCUUUGGACAGAGUUCUCUCUCGGAAGAUUCACUGCUUCUCACUCACAGCAUCAAGUGCUGCCAAAAUGGUCGGGAUAAUGAGUCAAAUGGCUGUUGAUUAAGCCUUCUAGAUCGAGUGCAGUGCCCUUUGAGGCUAUACUACCGAGAAAGAUCUGUUCAGGAGAAUCGGACAAGUACCCUAUAAUCCAGCCUCAUCGUUGCGUUGUGGGAAAGCCCUCUCUUAUGACCAUUCAGAAUUCUUCUCAUGUCCGCGACCAUUUGAUCACCCCGAUGCGGUCUACUGUUGUAAUCCAGGAACCAAAGACUCGUAUUGCUGCUCUAUGCCUAAUCAAGACUUGGAUCAUCUGGGUAAAAG